rnacentral:tRNA from 1 species
GGAUAUGGCUCAGUUGGUAGAGUUCUUGCCUCACAUGCACAAGGCCCUGAGCUCAAUCCCCAGAACCA